CAAUAGCGUAUAUUAAAGCUGUUGCAGUUAAAAAGCUCGUAGUUGGAUUUGUGGCGUACGGUGUGUUCCGGGCACUUGUUGUCUGAGUAACCUGCUGUUGCCAUCCUUGGGUGGAACCUGUGUGGCAUUAGGUUGUCGUGCAGGGGAUGCCCAUCAUUUACUGUGAAAAAAUUAGAGUGUUCAAAGCAGGCUUAUGCCGUUGAAUAUAUUAGCAUGGAAUAAUGAGAUAGGACUUUUUUGCUAUUUUGUUGGUUUGCGCAAAGAGGUAAUGAUUAAUAGGGACAGUUGGGGGUAUUCGUAUUCCAUUGUCAGAGGUGAAAUUCUUGGAUUUUUGGAAGACGAACUACUGCGAAAGCAUUUACCAAGGAUGUUUUCAUUAA
rnacentral:rRNA from 1 species